GCAGGCCUAAUACAUGCAAGUCGAACGGUAAGGUCUCUUCGGGAGAUACACGAGUGGCGCACGGGUGCGUAACGCGUAUGCAACCUACCUUGAACUGGAAGAUAGCCCCGAGAAAUCGGGAUUAAUAUUCCAUAAUGUCCAUUUUUUGCAUAUGAGAUGGAUUAAAGUUACGGCGGUUCAAGAUGGGCAUGCGUGACAUUAGCUAGUUGGUGAGGUAACGGCUCACCAAGGCGACGAUGUCUAGGGGUCCUGAGAGGGUUUCCCCCCACACUGGUACUGAUACACGGACCAGAAUCCUACGGGAGGCAGCAGUAAGGAAUAUUGGUCAAUGGACGCAAGUCUGAACCAGCCAUGCCGCGUGCAGGAUGACUGCCCUACGGGUUGUAAACUGCUUUUACGUGAGAAAAAACUCCCCGAUUCGUUCGGGGACUGAUGGUAUCACAUGAAUAAGCAUCGGCUAACUCCGUGCCAGCAGCCGCGGUAACACGGAGGAUGCAAGCGUUAUCCGGAUUCAUUGGGUUUACAGGGUGUGCAGGCGGAAUGAUAAGUCAGAGGUGAAAUCCCCCGGCUCAACCGGGGACCUGNCUUUGAUACUGUUGUUCUUGAGUAUAGUUGACGUGGGCGGA
rnacentral:rRNA from 1 species